rnacentral:rRNA from 1 species
GGUUAAGCGACUAAGCGUACACGGUGGACGCCCUGGCAGUCAGAGGCGAUGAAGGACGUGCUAAUCUGCGAUAAGCGUCGGUAAGGUGAUAUGAACCGUUAUAACCGGCGAUUUCCGAAUGGGGAGACCCAGUGUGUUUCGACACACUAUCAUUAACUGAAUCCAUAGGUUAAUGAGGCGAACCGGGGGAACUGAAACAUCUAAGUACCCCGAGGAAAAGAAAUCAACCGAGAUUCCCCCAGUAGCGGCGAGCGAACGGGGAGCAGCCCAGAGCCUGAAUCAGUGUGUGUGUUAGUGGAAGCGUCUGGAAAGGCGCGCGAUACAGGGUGACAGCCCCGUACACAAAAAUGCACAUGCUGUGAGCUCGAUGAGUAGGGCGGGACACGUGGUAUCCUGUCUGAAUAUGGGGGGACCAUCCUCCAAGGCUAAAUACUCCUGACUGACCGAUAGUGAACCAGUACCGUGAGGGUAAGGUGAAAAGAACC